AAGAUACGUGCUUUUGAGGUCUUCUCCCUCUAACUUAUUAGAGAAACUCUUAUGAGAUUUUUUUUUUCCUGCACCUAAAGCGUUUUAUCACUAUCAUUUGUGGCGGCUUCCCCUACUCAAUAAGGGAGGGAGAGUUUCUCUUCUCUCCUUGCCCAGUUGUGGAUUACUCUCCCCGCCAUUGGGAGGGUGGGUCUUGUUGGCGUGCGAAGCUUCUGGAGAGGUGUUGGACGGCUGACUUCCCUUCUUGCAGAUCAGCAUUUGAGUUUUUUGUGAGGGAGUUGAAUCUUUGAGAUGGAGGUAUCUUCGAGGUCUUGUCUUUACUCAAUCUUAGAGGGAGUUUUUUGUUUGGAUGGG
rnacentral:misc_RNA from 1 species